UAUACUGCAGUCGAACGAAACUUUCUUACACCGAAUGCUUGCAUUCAUCGUAAGAAGUUGAGUGGCGGACGGGUGAGUAACACGUGGGUAACCUGCCUAAAAGAAGGGGAUAACACUUGGAAACAGGUGCUAAUACCGUAUAUCUCUAAGGAUCGCAUGAUCCUUAGAUGAAAGAUGGUUCUGCUAUCGCUUUUAGAUGGACCCGCGGCGUAUUAACUAGUUGGUGGGGUAACGGCCUACCAAGGUGAUGAUACGUAGCCGAACUGAGAGGUUGAUCGGCCACAUUGGGACUGAGACACGGCCCAAACUCCUACGGGAGGCAGCAGUAGGGAAUCUUCCACAAUGGACGCAAGUCUGAUGGAGCAACGCCGCGUGAGUGAAGAAGGUCUUCGGAUCGUAAAACUCUGUUGUUAGAGAAGAACACGAGUGAGAGUAACUGUUCAUUCGAUGACGGUAUCUAACCAGCAAGUCACGGCUAACUACGUGCCAGCAGCCGCGGUAAUACGUAGGUGGCAAGCGUUGUCCGGAUUUAUUGGGCGUAAAGGGAACGCAGGCGGUCUUUUAAGUCUGAUGUGAAAGCCUUCGGCUUAACCGGAGUAGUGCAUUGGAAACUGGAAGACUUGAGUGCAGAAGAGGAGAGUGGAACUCCAUGUGUAGCGGUGAAAUGCGUAGAUAUAUGGAAGAACACCAGUGGCGAAAGCGGCUCUCUGGUCUGUAACUGACGCUGAGGUUCGAAAGCGUGGGUAGCAAACAGGAUUAGAUACCCUGGUAGUCCACGCCGUAAACGAUGAAUGCUAGGUGUUGGAGGGUUUCCGCCCUUCAGUGCCGCAGCUAACGCAAUAAGCAUUCCGCCUGGGGAGUACGACCGCAAGUUGAAACUCAAAGGAAUUGACGGGGGCCCGCACAAGCGGUGGAGCAUGUGGUUAAUUCGAAGCA
rnacentral:rRNA from 1 species